rnacentral:rRNA from 1 species
AACGAACGCUGGCGGCAUGCCUAACACAUGCAAGUCGAACGAGACCUUCGGGUCUAGUGGCGCACGGGUGCGUAACGCGUGGGAACCUGCCCAUAGGUUCGGAAUAACUCCCCGAAAGGGGUGCUAACACCGGAUAAUGUCUUCGGACCAAAGAUUUAUCGCCUUUGGAUGGGCCCGCGUUGGAUUAGCUAGUUGGUAGGGUAAAAGCCUACCAAGGCGACGAUCCAUAGCUGGUCUGAGAGGAUGAUCAGCCACACUGGGACUGGGACACGGCCCGGACUCCUACGGGAGGCAGCAGUGGGGAAUAUUGGACCAUGGGCGGAGGCCUGAUCCAGCUCUGCCGCGUGAGUGAUGAAGGCCUUAGGGUUGUAAAGCUCUUUUACCCGGGAUGAUAAUGACGGUACCGGGAGAAUAAGCCCCGGCUAACUCCGUG